rnacentral:rRNA from 1 species
AUUGAACGCUGGCGGCAGGCCUAACACAUGCAAGUCGAGCGGAUGAAGGGAGCUUGCUCCUGGAUUCAGCGGCGGACGGGUGAGUAAUGCCUAGGAAUCUGCCUGGGAGUGGGGGAUAACGUCCGGAAACGGGCGCUAAUACCGCAUACGUCCUGAGGGAGAAAGUGGGGGAUCUUCGGACCUUUCGCUAUCAGAUGAUCCUAGGUCGGAUUAGCUAGUUGGUGGGGUAAAGGCCUACCAAGGCGACGAUCCGUAACUGGUCUGAGAGGAUGAUCAGUCACACUGGAACUGAGACACGGUCCAGACUCCUACGGGAGGCAGCAGUGGGGAAUAUUGGACAAUGGGCGAAAGCCUGAUCCAGCCAUGCCGCGUGUGUGAAGAAGGUCUUCGGAUUGUAAAGCACUUUAAGUUGGGAGGAAGGGCAGUAAGUUAAUACCUUGCUGUUUUGACGUUACCAACAGAAUAAGCACCGGCUAACUUCGUG